rfam:Canis lupus familiaris chromosome 13, whole genome shotgun sequence.
ACCUGGGUGGCUCAGUGGUUGAGCGUCUGCCUUCUGCUCAGGUCGUGAUCCUGGGGUCCUGGGGUCGAGUCCCAGAUCGGGCU